rnacentral:rRNA from 1 species
CCUACGGGAGGCAGCAGUGAGGAAUAUUGGUCAAUGGGAGAGAUCCUGAACCAGCCAAGCCGCGUGAGGGAAGACGGCCCUAUGGGUUGUAAACCUCUUUUGUCGGGGAGCAAAACCCGCGACGUGUGCCGUUCUGCGUGUAUCCGAAGAAAAAGCAUCGGCUAACUCCGUGCCAGCAGCCGCGGUAAUACGGAGGAUGCGAGCGUUAUCCGGAUUUAUUGGGUUUAAAGGGUGCGCAGGCGGUCCGUUAAGUCAGCGGUAAAAUUGCGAGGCUCAACCCCUUCGAGCCGUUGAAACUGGC